AUUGAACGCUGGCGGCAGGCCUAACACAUGCAAGUCGAGCGGAUGAAGGGAGCCUGCUCCUGGAUUCAGCGGCGGACGGGUGAGUAAUGCCUAGGAAUCUGCCUGGUAGUGGGGGAUAACGUCCGGAAACGGGCGCUAAUACCGCAUACGUCCUGAGGGAGAAAGUGGGGGAUCUUCGGACCUCACGCUAUCAGAUGAGCCUAGGUCGGAUUAGCUAGUUGGUGGGGUAAAGGGCUACCAAGGCGACGAUCCGUAACUGGUCUGAGAGGAUGAUCAGUCACACUGGAACUGAGACACGGUCCAGACUCCUACGGGAGGCAGCAGUGGGGAAUAUUGGACAAAGGGCGAAAGCCUGAUCCAGCCAUGCCGCGUGUGUGAAGAAGGUCUUCGGAUUGUAAAGCACUUUAAGUUGGGAGGAAGGGCAGUAAGUUAAUACCUUGCUGUUUUGACGUUACCAACAGAAUAAGCACCGGCUAACUUCGUG
rnacentral:rRNA from 1 species